AUUUCUCACCUGCUUUUCCUCCUCACUCCUCCUUCUCUUACUUUCCGUGUCCUAUUUUUCAACAGGUAGCUUUGAUGUUUCGGAGAAAGAAGAACGACAUCGAUUAUAGAGGUCCGGAAACACACUCUUCAGUCCCUCCGCCGGAUUAUUUUCACGGUCUUCGUCAUAUGAUUCACCGGAAAACUGAUUUGUCAUCUCUUCAAUCUUCCAAGAGCUUAAGGGUUGGUGAUAAUAAUAAAGGAAGAAAUGUGA